UUGACCUCAAAUCAGGUCGGACUACCCGCUGAACUUA
rnacentral:rRNA from 1 species